UGAGGAAUAUUGGUCAAUGGGCGAGAGCCUGAACCAGCCAAGUAGCGUGCAGGAUGACGGCCCUAUGGGUUGUAAACUGCUUUUAUGCGGGGAUAAAGUGCGCGACGUGUCGUGCAUUGCAGGUACCGCAUGAAUAAGGACCGGCUAAUUCCGUGCCAGCAGCCGCGGUAAUACGGAAGGUCCGGGCGUUAUCCGGAUUUAUUGGGUUUAAAGGGAGCGUAGGCCGCCAGGUAAGCGUGUUGUGAAAUGUACCGGCUCAACCGGUGAAUUGCAGCGCGAACUGUCUGGCUUGAGUGCACGGUAAGCAGGCGGAAUUCAUGGUGUAGCGGUGAAAUGCUUAGAUAUCAUGAAGAACUCCGAUUGCGAAGGCAGCUUGCUGCAGUGCGACUGACGCUGAUGCUCGAAGGUGCGGGUAUCAAACAGG
rnacentral:rRNA from 1 species